UACGUAGGUGGCGAGCGUUGUCCGGAUUUACUGGGCGUAAAGAGCCCGCAGGCGGCUCGGCAAGUUUCAGGUGAAAUCUCCCGGCUCAACUGGGAGGGGUCCUGGAAAACUGCUGGGCUAGAGGCAGGGAGAGGGAUGUGGAAUUCCCGGUGUAGUGGUGAAAUGCGUAGAUAUCGGGAGGAACACCAGUGGCGAAGGCGGCAUCCUGGCCCUGUCCUGACGCUGAGGGGCGAAAGCGUGGGGAGCAAACCGG
rnacentral:rRNA from 1 species